UACGGAGGGGGCUAGCGUUGUUCGGAAUUACUGGGCGUGAAGCGCACGUAGGCGGCUUUGCAAGUCAGAGGUGAAAGCCCGGGGCUCAACCCCGGAAUUGCCUUUGAGACUGCAUCGCUAGAAUUGUGGAGAGGUAAGUGGAAUUCCGAGUGUAGAGGUGAAAUUCGUAGAUAUUCGGAAGAACACCAGUGGCGAAGGCGACUUACUGGACACAUAUUGACGCUGAGGUGCGAAAGCGUGGGGAGCAAACAGG
rnacentral:rRNA from 1 species